rnacentral:rRNA from 1 species
UUCCGGUUGAUCCUGCCGGAGGCUCCGCUAUUGGAGUUCGAUUAAGCCAUGCGAGUCGUGAGUCUUAGGGACUCGGCGUACCGCUCAGUAACACGUGGGUAACCUGCCCUAUGCUGGGGGAUAACCUCGGGAAACUGAGAAUAAUGCCCCAUAGUUCACCACACCUGGAACGGUGGGUGGAUGAAAGCUCCGGCGGCAUAGGAUGGGCCUGCGGCGUAUCAGGUUGUAGGGGGUGUAAUGUACCCUCUAGCCAUCUACGCCGUACGGGUGUUGAGAGACAUCGCCCGGAGAUGGAUUCUGAGACACGAAUCCAGACCCUACGGGGUGCAGCAGGCGCGAAAACUUGGCAAUGCGAGCAAUCGUGACCAGGGAACUCCAAGUGCAUCGGGUAAGACCGAUGCUUUUCUUGACUCUUCAAAGGUCUUGGAAUAAGGGGUGGGUAAGGACGGUGCCAGCCCGCCCGCGGUAAUACCGGCGCCUCAAGUGGUAGUCGCUUUUAUUGGGCCUAAAACGUCCGUAGCCGGUUUGGUACAUUCGUGGGUAAAUCAAGACGCUCAACGUCUUGAAUUCUGCGAGCACGGCCAGACUUGGGACCGGGUGAGGUGUGGGGUACUCUCAGGGUAGGGGUAAAAUCCUGUCAUCCUGAGAGGACCACCUGUUGCGAAGGCGCCACACUAGAACGGAUCCGACGGUCAGGGACGAAGCCUAGGGGCACGAACCGGAUUAGAUACCCGGGUAGUCCUAGGUGUAAACGCUGUGGACUUGAUGUUGGGAGUGCUCCGAGCGCCCUCAGUGUCGAAGCGAAGGUGAUAAGUCCACUGCCUGGGGAGUACGGUCGCAAGGCUGAAACUUAAAGGAAUUGGCGGGGGAGCACUGCAACCUGAGGAUUGUGCGGUUUAAUUGGAUUCAACGCCGGG